rnacentral:rRNA from 1 species
GACGAACUGCCCAAACGUUGUUCGGAAUCACUGGGCUUAAAGGGCGCGUAGGCGGCAGAUCAAGUCAGGGGUGAAAUCCGGCAGCUCAACUGUCGAAGUGCCUUUGAUACUGAUUUGCUCGAGGGAUAUAGGGGUCUGUGGAACUUCUGGUGGAGCGGUGAAAUGCGUUGAUAUCAGAAGGAACGCCGGUGGCGAAAGCGACGGACUGGCUAUCUUCUGACGCUGAGGCGCGAAAGCUAGGGGAGCAAACGGG